rnacentral:rRNA from 1 species
AAGGAAUAUUGGUCAAUGGGCGCAAGCCUGAACCAGCCAUGCCGCGUGCAGGAAGACGGCCCUACGGGUUGUAAACUGCUUUUGUACCGGAAUAAACCUUUCUUCGUGAAGAGAGCUGAAUGUACGGUAAGAAUAAGGAUCGGCUAACUCCGUGCCAGCAGCCGCGGUAAUACGGAGGAUCUAAGCGUUAUCCGGAUUUAUUGGGUUUAAAGGGUGCGUAGGUGGCCUAUUAAGUCAGGGGUGAAAGACGGUAGCUUAACUAUCGCAGUGCCUUUGAUACUGAUGGGCUUGAAUACAGAUGAAGUGGGCGGAAUGUGACAAGUAGCGGUGAAAUGCAUAGAUAUGUCACAGAACACCGAUUGCGAAGGCAGCUCACUAAAUUGUGAUUGACACUGAGGCACGAAAGCGUGGGGAUCAAAC